rnacentral:rRNA from 1 species
GGUUAAGCGACUAAGCGUACACGGUGGAUGCCCUGGCAGUCAGAGGCGAUGAAGGACGUGCUAAUCUGCGAUAAGCGUCGGUAAGGUGAUAUGAACCGUUAUAACCGGCGAUUUCCGAAUGGGGAAACCCAGUGUGUUUCGACACACUAUCAUUAACUGAAUCCAUAGGUUAAUGAGGGCGAACCGGGGGAACUGAAACAUCUAAGUACCCCGAGGAAAAGAAAUCAACCGAGAUUCCCCCAGUAGCGGCGAGCGAACGGGGAGGAGCCCAGAGCCUGAAUCAGUGUGUGUGUUAGUGGAAGCGUCUGGAAAGGCGCGCGAUACAGGGUGACAGCCCCGUACACAAAAAUGCACAUGCUGUGAGCUCGAUGAGUAGGGCGGGACACGUGGUAUCCUGUCUGAAUAUGGGGGACCAUCCUCCAAGGCUAAAUACUCCUGACUGACCGAUAGUGAACCAGUACCGUGAGGGAAAGGCGAAAAGAACCCCGGCGAGGGGAGUGAAAAAGAACCUGAAACCGUGUACGUACAAGCAGUGGGAGCACAGAGCAAUCUGUGUGACUGCGUACCUUUUGUAUAAUGGGUCAGCGACUUAUAUUCUGUAGCAAGGUUAACCGAAUAGGGGAGCCGAAGGGAAACCGAGUCUUAACUGGGCGUUAAGUUGCAGGGUAUAGACCCGAAACCCGGUGAUCUAGCCAUGGGCAGGUUGAAGGUUGGGUAACACUAACUGGAGGACCGAACCGACUAAUGUUGAAAAAUUAGCGGAUGACUUGUGGCUGGGGGUGAAAGGCCAAUCAAACCGGGAGAUAGCUGGUUCUCCCCGAAAGCUAUUUAGGUAGCGCCUCGUGAAUUCAUCUCCGGGGGUAGAGCACUGUUUCGGCAAGGGGGUCAUCCCGACUUACCAACCCGAUGCAAACUGCGAAUACCGGAGAAUGUUAUCACGGGAGACACACGGCGGGUGCUAACGUCCGUCGUGAAGAGGGAAACAACCCAGACCGCCAGCUAAGGUCCCAAAGUCAUGGUUAAGUGGGAAACGAUGUGGGAAGGCCCAGACAGCCAGGAUGUUGGCUUAGAAGCAGCCAUCAUUUAAAGAAAGCGUAAUAGCUCACUGGUCGAGUCGGCCUGCGCGGAAGAUGUAACGGGGCUAAACCAUGCACCGAAGCUGCGGCAGCGACACUGUGUGUUGUUGGGUAGGGGAGCGUUCUGUAAGCCUGUGAAGGUGUGCUGUGAGGCAUGCUGGAGGUAUCAGAAGUGCGAAUGCUGACAUAAGUAACGAUAAAGCGGGUGAAAAGCCCGCUCGCCGGAAGACCAAGGGUUCCUGUCCAACGUUAAUCGGGGCAGGGUGAGUCGACCCUAAGGCGAGGCCGAAAGGCGUAGUCGAUGGGAAACAGGUUAAUAUUCCUGUACUUGGUGUUACUGCGAAGGGGGGGACGGAGAAGGCUAUGUUGGCCGGGCGACGGUUGUCCCGGUUUAAGCGUGUAGGCUGGUUUUCCGAGGCAAAUCCGGAAAAUCAAGGCUGAGGCGUGAUGACGAGGCACUACGGUGCUGAAGCAACAAAUGCCCUGCUUCCAGGAAAAGCCUCUAAGCAUCAGGUAACAUCAAAUCGUACCCCAAACCGACACAGGUGGUCAGGUAGAGAAUACCAAGGCGCUUGAGAGAACUCGGGUGAAGGAACUAGGCAAAAUGGUGCCGUAACUUCGGGAGAAGGCACGCUGAUAUGUAGGUGAAGUCCCUCGCGGAUGGAGCUGAAAUCAGUCGAAGAUACCAGCUGGCUGCAACUGUUUAUUAAAAACACAGCACUGUGCAAACACGAAAGUGGACGUAUACGGUGUGACGCCUGCCCGGUGCCGGAAGGUUAAUUGAUGGGGUCAGCGCAAGCGAAGCUCUUGAUCGAAGCCCCGGUAAACGGCGGCCGUAACUAUAACGGUCCUAAGGUAGCGAAAUUCCUUGUCGGGUAAGUUCCGACCUGCACGAAUGGCGUAAUGAUGGCCAGGCUGUCUCCACCCGAGACUCAGUGAAAUUGAACUCGCUGUGAAGAUGCAGUGUACCCGCGGCAAGACGGAAAGACCCCGUGAACCUUUACUAUAGCUUGACACUGAACAUUGAGCCUUGAUGUGUAGGAUAGGUGGGAGGCUUUGAAGUGUGGACGCCAGUCUGCAUGGAGCCGACCUUGAAAUACCACCCUUUAAUGUUUGAUGUUCUAACGUGGACCCGUGAUCCGGGUUGCGGACAGUGUCUGGUGGGUAGUUUGACUGGGGCGGUCUCCUCCUAAAGAGUAACGGAGGAGCACGAAGGUUGGCUAAUCCUGGUCGGACAUCAGGAGGUUAGUGCAAUGGCAUAAGCCAGCUUGACUGCGAGCGUGACGGCGCGAGCAGGUGCGAAAAGCAGGUCAUAGUGAUCCGGUGGUUCUGAAUGGAAGGGCCAUCGCUCAACGGAUAAAAGGUACUCCGGGGAUAACAGGCUGAUACCGCCCAAGAGUUCAUAUCGACGGCGGUGUUUGGCACCUCGAUGUCGGCUCAUCACAUCCUGGGGCUGAAGUAGGUCCCAAGGGUAUGGCUGUUCGCCAUUUAAAGUGGUACGCGAGCUGGGUUUAGAACGUCGUGAGACAGUUCGGUCCCUAUCUGCCGUGGGCGCUGGAGAACUGAGGGGGCUGCUCCUAGUACGAGAGGACCGGAGUGGACGCAUCACUGGUGUUCGGGUUGUCAUGCCAAUGGCACUGCCCGGUAGCUAAAUGCGGAAGAGAUAAGUGCUGAAAGCAUCUAAGCACGAAACUUGCCCCGAGAUGAGUUCUCCCUGACCCUUUAAGGGUCCUGAAGGAACGUUGAAGACGACGACGUUGAUAGGCCGGGUGUGUAAGCGCAGCGAUGCGUUGAGCUAACCGGUACUAAUGAACCGUGAGGCUUAACCUU